rnacentral:tRNA from 1 species
ACACCAGUGGUUCAGUGGUAGAACUCUCACCUUCCAAGUGGGAGACUGGGGUUCAACUCCGGGCCAAUGUA